UCAGGAUGAACGCUGGCGGUAUGCUUAACACAUGCAAGUCGAACGGUCUCUUCGGAGAUAGUGGCGGACGGGUGAGUAACGCGUGAGAAUCUAGCUUCAGGUCGGGGACAACCACUGGAAACGGUGGCUAAUACCGGAUGUGCCGAGAGGUAAAAGGCUUGCUGCCUGAAGAUGAGCUCGCGUCUGAUUAGCUAGUAGGUGUGGUAAGAGCGCACCUAGGCGACGAUCAGUAGCUGGUCUGAGAGGAUGAUCAGCCACACUGGGACUGAGACACGGCCCAGACUCCUACGGGAGGCAGCAGUGGGGAAUUUUCCGCAAUGGGCGAAAGCCUGACGGAGCAAUACCGCGUGAGGGAGGAAGGCUCUUGGGUUGUAAACCUCUUUUCUCAGGGAAGAAAAAAAUGACGGUACCUGAGGAAUAAGCAUCGGCUAACUCCGUGCCAGCAGCCGCGGUAAUACGGAGGAUGCAAGCGUUAUCCGGAAUGAUUGGGCGUAAAGCGUCCGCAGGUGGCAAUGUAAGUCUGCUGUUAAAGAGUGAGGCUCAACCUCAUAAGAGCAGUGGAAACUACAUAGCUAGAGUGCGUUCGGGGCAAAGGGAAUUCCUGGUGUAGCGGUGAAAUGCGUAGAGAUCAGGAAGAACACCGGUGGCGAAAGCGCUUUGCUAGGCCGCAACUGACACUGAGGGACGAAAGCUAGGGGAGCGAAUGGGAUUAGAUACCCCAGUAGUCCUAGCCGUAAACGAUGGAUACUAGGCGUGGCUUGUAUCGACCCGAGCCGUGCCGUAGCUAACGCGUUAAGUAUCCCGCCUGGGGAGUACGCACGCAAGUG
rnacentral:rRNA from 1 species